GAGGGUGCAGCUCAAGUAGUAGGGCGCUUGCUUAGCAUGCGUGAGGUCCUGGGUUCGAUCCCCAGUACCCCCU
rnacentral:tRNA from 1 species